GUUUGAUAAAGACAGCGCUGUGGUUUGAUAGUUACAGACACAAGUGCGGAAGAGUGAGUAUGCUUGCUUACGUGCUUACGGUAAUUUUGGCUGUGCCUCAAGUAUCAGUGUUUGAUAACUGCAUCUGGAUAGAUCUAUAAAGGGGGUUUGCUUUGCUGAGGAUGUGAGUUUUUGAGUACUAAGAACGGGUGGGAUUUAUGGGGUGCUAGAAAUAGAAGUGUCAAAGGAAGGUAGUAGGUGUGGUGGCAGUUGCAGGAUUGGUAGACAGGUAGUAAAACUCUGUGCC
rnacentral:lncRNA from 1 species